AGCUUUGCACAGUGGCAAUAUCAUAGCCAAUGAGGUUUAUCUGAGGUGUGAUUUUUGCUAAUUUAACACUUUUCCCAACAUUG
rnacentral:snRNA from 1 species